GUCUACAGCCAUGUUACCCUGAACAAGCCCAAUCUCAUCUGAUCUCGGAAGCUAAGCAGGGUCGAGCCUGGUUAGUACAUGGAUGGGAGACCACCUAGAAAGACUAGGUGCUGUAGGCG
rnacentral:rRNA from 1 species